rnacentral:rRNA from 1 species
GCAAGUCGAACGAGAAACCAUCUUCGGAUGGCAGACAGUGGCAGACGGGUGAGUAACGCGUGGCAACCUACCAUUUUCUACGGAACAACAGUUGGAAACGACUGCUAAUACCGUAUACGUCCUCCGGGAGAAAGAUUUAUCGGUGAAUGAUGGGGCCGCGUUAGAUUAGCUAGUUGGUGAGGUAAUGGCUCACCAAGGCGACGAUCUCUAACUGGUCUGAGAGGAUGACC